GAAAGCAAACUCAGCUGCAUUUCUGUUCUCUGAAGGGUGAUGGGUGUACCUUGCUCUUCUUUUGUCUGAAAGCCCACGAAGGAACCUGGACCGGAUUAACUAAGUGGCUGCAUCGGGGAAAAAGUCACUCAGAAGAAGAGCCAGCUGGGACCCCCAAACUGAGGUGGAAGGAGAAGACUGGACCAGAUCGCCCUCCUCUCAGCUCAGGGUUGCUGUUUUUUCCUUUUAAAUAAGUAUUUUAUGAAUUUGAACUUAGCAAAUAUUGGCAUCUUCUUCCUCAUAUAAAGAAACUCCUAAGAGGAAAUAGAAAAGCCCCAGUAAGCAUGAACACGGAUUGCCAAGUGCCCUUGGAGAUAACUUGGGUGAAUACUGAAGGCAGAUUCGACUGGGUGUUCAGAAGCAGCGCAGUAGUCAGAAACAGGCGCCAGUGGAUCCGGAACCGGCGGCUC